rnacentral:sRNA from 1 species
AUGUACCACUCGUACACUGUCGUUCCUGCGCGCCGUCCGCGCCCACCUGACGGCUGCUCGCUACGUUUUGUUAGCC